GUAGGGCGCGAGCGUUGUCCGGAUUUAUUGGGCGUAAAGAGCUCGUAGGCGGCUUGUUGCGUCAGCUGUGAAAACCCGCAGCUCAACUGUGGGCUUGCAGCUGAUACGGGCAGGCUUGAGUUCGGUAGGGGAGACUGGAAUUCCUGGUGUAGCGGUGAAAUGCGCAGAUAUCAGGAGGAACACCGGUGGCGAAGGCGGGUCUCUGGGCCGAUACUGACGCUGAGGAGCGAAAGCGUGGGGAGCGAACAGGAUUAGAUACCCUGGUAGUCCACGCUGUAAACGUUGGGCGCUAGGUGUGGGGGGCCUCUCCGGUUCUCUGUGCCGCAGCUAACGCAUUAAGCGCCCCGCCUGGGGAGUACGGCCGCAAGGCUAAA
rnacentral:rRNA from 1 species